rnacentral:lncRNA from 10 species
ACGCGGCGCAAGAUUUACCCCUGAACCUCUCUGGGAGUGUGAGCUUCAUGGGCCUCAGUAGGAGGAGACGGUGGAGAAGAAAAAGACUUUACCAGGCUGUCUGCAGACACCCUUGUCCUAGAGGCCCUGGAGUGGGACAGCUGGGUGGCUCCUCGGAAGACUCCACAACCCCUUGGUACUCAAUGAUUAAGUGAUGAAAGAAAGUGCUUUUAAUUGUGUUCGUUGGUAUGAGGGGAAAAACCCAAAACCUUGGGUAAUCUACUGUCAGAAAACUGAGAAUCAUCAGUAUCAAGAAGGUUCUUCUCCUGAAAGGAGCCCCUUGACACAUUUGCAAAAUAAACGGUUUUCAUUGGUCAGACGAAAAC